rfam:Parasitella parasitica strain CBS 412.66 genome assembly, contig: contig_10197
GCGUGUCUAGUUUAGUGGUAGAAUGUCUGCCUUCCAAGCAGACGGCCAGGGUUCGAUUCCCUGGAUACGCA